UUGGAUUUAGUUAGGUCUCCUAGAGAUUCUAAAUUUCGUCUCCUAAAAAAAAAUAAUAAUAAUAAUAGGGGUUCCUCCUUGUCUCUCCCUGGCGUGUUUCCUCCGGCGACCAAACCACGACCGGCGGCAGUGAACCCCGGCAAUAGACCGACGGCGAGCCAUCCACGAGUAACCAAACCCCUGCUCCGACGAUUUCGGAUGCGCAACUCUCCUCCCGACGCCCAGUGAUUUAGGCGGUGGCUUUCUGAAAGUGGAAAUCUUAUUGUUGGAUCAGUUAAUGUCUUGAGCUCUAGGAAUGGACCCCAAGCACACAGGAGAGAUUUUAAAACAUUUGGAGAAGCAGGAUGAGGUUCUGAUGGAUGCUUAUAGAUCAAUGUCCCAUGAAUUGCAUAAGCUUCAGGUUGAAGAAGAAAUGCUCAUGCGCAAGUUUUAUGAAAUAAUGUCAGCUCGUGGUCUAGCCAAAAAGAGUGAAGAUGGUCGUAAUAGUUCUGGUAGCCAAAGCAAUGCUUAGUUACACCCAAUAAUGAUAGCAAAUUGGACUAAAAGUAGAUGUCGAAUCCGAGUGAAUAUCAUUCUCCUUCUUGUCUCUGAGCCCUUUUUUUUGGAUGGAAGCUCGAUUACUAGGUUCGAUUGAAGAGAUUAGAAGAAAGAUCUCGUGACUUAUCAAUGUAUGAGACUUCAUUUACUGCAUACUUGGUUAGAAAAGAAGAAUGGAAUUUUCAACCACAAAGAAAUCUUUUAGCUUUUAUUGGUACUCUUGAAUACUUGCUUUUAUGCGCGUGUUUAUAAAUUUCUAUCAUCUUCUUCUGUAAAUGUUUAGUGUGAAAGUUCACUUUUUUUUGUAUUGUGAAUAAUGCUUAAUAAUUUUAGCUAUACUCUGUUUUAAUUGUUUU